rnacentral:rRNA from 1 species
CCUACGGGCGGCAGCAGUGAGGAAUAUUGGUCAAUGGGCGCGAGCCUGAACCAGCCAAGCCGCGUGAGGGAAGACGGGCCUAGGGAUUGUAAACCUCUUUUGUCGGGGAGCAAAAGACGCCACGCGUGGCGUUCCGAGAGUACCCGAAGAAAAAGCAUCGGCUAACUCCGUGCCAGCAGCCGCGGUAAUACGGAGGAUGCGAGCGUUAUCCGGUUUUAUUGGGGUGAAAGGGUGGGCAGGGGGAAGAUCAGGUCAGCGGUAAAAUUGGGAGGCGAAACCUCUUCGAGCCGUUGAAACUGGUCUUCUUGAGUGAGUGAGAGGUAUGCGGAAUGCGUGGUGUAGCGGUGAAAUGCAUAGAUAUCACGCAGAACUCCGAUUGCGAAGGCAGCAUACCGGCGCUCAACUGACGCUCAUGCACGAAAGUGUGGGUAUCGAACAGGAUUAGAUACCCUGGUAGUC